rnacentral:rRNA from 1 species
CGGACGGGUGAGUAACACGUGGAUAACCUACCUAUAAGACUGGGAUAACUUCGGGAAACCGGAGCUAAUACCGGAUAAUAUUUUGAACCGCAUGGUUCAAAAGUGAAAGACGGUCUUGCUGUCACUUAUAGAUGGAUCCGCGCUACAUUAGCUAGUUGGUAAGGUAACGGCUUACCAAGGCAACGAUGCAUAGCCGACCUGAGAGGGUGAUCGGCCACACUGGAACUGAGACACGGUCCAG